CGAAAAUGUCCAACGUAAACAGAAUCGGAGGAAUGAAAAAUGAUCAUGAGUGAAUAAACAAACCGUCGUACCUACUUUGGAGGGGGUUGUAGAUUAAAACAACGACCCGAUUUAUCAUGGAUGGACAGCCCAUUGAAAAUGGAAGCAGCCUGCCGGAUCAGUGGGAAGCCCAGGCGUGAUAGACGACCACUGACAAGACGGAAAAAUCUCAGCAACAAAAAAAAGAGAGGGAAUAAAAAUGAAAUAACAGUGCAGCUUUACAGGUGGCCAGCAUCCAACCAGCCUAACUCG